rnacentral:rRNA from 1 species
UACGAGUGCUCCAAGCGUUAUCCGGAAUUAUUGGGCGUAAAGGGUGUGUAGGCGGUUUUGUUAGUCGAAUGUUAAAGCUCUGGGCUUAACCUAGAAAAUGCAUUCGAAACGGCAAACCUAGAGGAUGCGAGAGGUGAACAGAACUCAUAGUGUAGGGGUGAAAUCCGUUGAUAUUAUGGGGAAUACCAAAUGCGAAGGCAGUUCACUGGCGCACUCCUGACGCUGAAACACGAAAGCGUGGGUAGCGAACGUG